rnacentral:rRNA from 14 species
AGGGGAGGACAGCAGCCGCAGUAGUAACAGCAGCAGUAGCAUCAGCAAAUGAUGAUGGUGAUACUACCUACCGAUGGUGAUUGUAAUAUAAAGAUGAAUAAUGGGAAACAAUAUUUCAAAUUUGCAUCCUUUGAUAAGGAAGAUGGUUGGUAUGUCUAUUU